rnacentral:lncRNA from 1 species
GGUAUCUGUGCCUGUGCCACUAGAAUGUUUGCUAGAUAACCAAAUAAAUUUUAAAAAGAAAAAAAAAACAAAACUAGAUUGCCUGGUGUGGAAUCUGGUGUGUUCAUGUUUCCUUUAAUCCAAGUAUUUGGAGGCAGAGGUAGGUAGAACUCUGAGCUACACAGAGAGACCCUUUCUGAAAAUAAACAAACAGGUUAAAGUUGUAGCAUGUAAGUACAGUUCUUGCCUACCACUGGUGAGGCGUUGGGUUGUCAGCCCUGCAAAAAAAAAAAAAAAAGCAAGUCUAAAACAAUAUCCAAAACGAAUCUGUAAUACAUGUGUAUUAUGUGUAUGUACAUGUAUGUGGUCUCAGCGCAUGUUGGUGUUUUGUUUGGUUGGCUUAUGUAUUCCUGUAGACCAGGCUGGCCUGAGCCUCACAGAGAUCCCCGAGUUUGGUGGAAGGUGGAACUCUGGGAUACUGAGACCAGCCUGGCCUACAGAGUGAUUUCCAGAAGAGUCAGAGCUACACGGAGAAACCUUGCCUAGAAAUACUUAACAAACAAAAUGAAAAUCGGUGUUACUCAGGCUAAUGUUGUGCAUGACUGUAUGCCAGCACUAGAUAGGAGGCAGAAGCAGGGGCAGGUAGCUCUAGACAGACAGUGAGGGUCAGCCAAGGGCUGCACCGGGAACCUGCCUCAGAAACCAACCAAACCACCCUUACUGAGGAAGUUUUACGGUAAUAGUACUGAUUGGCCACAUCAAAUAAAUGAAAAGACUAAUUGAGAGCUGGGCAUGGUCGUGAGUACCUGUAAUCUCAGUGUUAGAGAGGCUAAGACGGGAUUUGGGGUUCAAGAGUAACCUGUGCUACACAAGACUAUGUCAUAAGUUACAAAAUGAAACAAAAGUCUUGGCCAUUCCUGGUUUCAGAAUUCACUCUCAAUUUAGGCUGUUUACUAAUUUUUUGUUUUUAAGUUUUUCUAUGUUGUAAUUAUUUUAUAUUCAUGAAUGUUUUGCCUGCCUGUAUGUAUGUGUACCUUGUGCGUGCCUGGUGAUCAACUGGCGAUGUUACUAUUUGCAUAAAGACAAUUAUUUGUUUGUUUAAUGUCUUAAAUAUGGUUAUGAUCUUUUUCCUCAUUGUUCAGAUUCUCCUGGGCUCCUCCAGUUUGAAGUGUGUCCUCUCUCAGAAUCUCGCUUCAGUGUAUCUUUUCAGCACCCUGUGAAUGACUCCCUUGUGUGUGGUGAGUUGUGUGGGUGGCCAGCCUCUCUUGGGGACAUCCUUUCUUGAAAAAUUGAGAACCCGGAUGGAUCACAAGGAUCACUUCCACAUUUUGUCUUUCAGUGGUGAUGGAUGUGCAAGACUCAACACAUGUGAGCUGUAAACUCUACAAGGGGCUGUCAGAUGCACUAAUCUGUACAGACGACUUCAUUGCCAAAGUUGUUCAAAGGUAGUAGUGGCCCUUUUCUCCUAAGAAUUUCACUGAGAUUUGUACAGUGUGUGGAUGCAAUUAUGUAUUUAUUUAUUCAUUUAUUUUUCAAGAAAGGCUGUCCUGGAACUCUCUAUAUACCAGGCUGCCCUUGAACUCAGAUCUGCCUGCUGCUGCCUCCCGAGUGCUGGGUUUAAAUGUGUGUGUGCAUCCUCAUGAUAUAUCCCAUACCCAGGGUCUAUAUGUUUAUGUUUAACAUAAGUUAAAAGUAUUAGAAAAACAUUGCCAUUUAAAUUUAAAUAUUUAAAUUUACUCCUUUUAUGCUUUGAGAUUUAAAAUAAUGUGACAUUUUUUGUUUGUUAUUUAAAAGUCACUAUGUACACAGUAGGGAUAAAGCUGGCCAUUUCCAGCCUUGCUAUACAUUUAAGGUGAUAGAGAGCUGAGAAAUAAACUUUGUUUUUAAAGACACACUCACUGUUGCCUCCAUAGAAUUUACUGUUUAGACCAGGUGGGCCUUGAAUUCCUUUGCCUUGUGCUGAUUAAAGGGUGGGUAUCUUCAUGACUCGCCUAAAUUAUUAGGUUUUUUUUUUUUUUUUUUAACAUACCCUCUUCUUUCACAUAUACCAUGUUAUAUAGCUGUGUGUGGGGAGUUAACAUUUAAACCAGCAAACUUCCUGGAAACAUUAAUAUGUACUUUUGAAAUUUUUCUUUCUAAAGUAGGGAGGAAGUAGCCUAUUUUAAAAAAGAGAUUUCAUUUACU